GGAGAGAUAAAGAUCUACCCACACAGUCCUUGCCAAGGCUCGGAGGACUGUUUCUCACUGUACAACUCGUGCUGUUUUCACACAGCUCUGCACUUCACCUGGUGGACCUCAUCCAGACAAGUAUGGCAAGUUGUACAUGAAGAAGUCCAGGACCUGGAGGUGAUACACACUGAAGGUUGUCUUCCACAGACCAGAGCAACGAGACCAGAUGAUCCCCGUUACCAGCUAGAGAAGCAAGUCAGCAGAGGACCAGGACCACUGCCUAAAGAGUCGACGACAGCACAGCCUGACCCGUCAGCCAACAGACCUGCUUUGACAUGCUAGGAAACCCUGUGCAGACAGUUUCUUCCUUUUUUGUACAUAUGUUGUUUAUGCUAAUAUUAUAACAUAUAUAUGUUAUAUUGUAUGAUGUUCCAAAAAACAUUGUGUUUUCAUUAUUUGUGGACACAGGAGUCAUGAAGUUGCCCACAGCACUUUCUUUCCACGUCUGUGGGCAGUUCUGGCAGACACAAGUAGGUUGACCGGCAACGGGACGGCCUGGUGUAGGAGCAUUUACUGAUGUCAAGUGUAGUAAAACAGCAGGCUUGUGUCACAUCACUGCUCCAAGCUCAGUCCUUGAAUUCUGGCCUGUACAGUAACACAUGAUUAAAUAAGAUAAUAAUAAUAAUAAUGAAUUUAAUUUAUAGAUACAUAAUAAAUUAAUAGAUGUAUGAUUAGAUACAUUGAACAGAGUCUGGAGUAAACUCAUAGUCUGAGCUAACAACACUCUCAUCGUGGAAACUCCGACUUGCUAAACAACAUGUUAUGAGUCCUGUACAAAAUUCACCGUCAUUGUGUCAAACAUAGUAACAGAAAACAAGGGCAGAAAGCUACAAAGGUGCUGCAGCUGUUUCAUCGUUACACAAUAUGGCUGAAAUGCGCUGAAGUUUAAAAAUAUAAACUCAAAACCAACUUUGUCUGUGUCGUAGGCCUACUGCUAACCUUGUUUAUGUUUUAGCUUAACCUGCAGCAGCCUGUUGCUAGCUAGCUAGCAACAAGUUAGUGCAUCAGAACUCUAUUUUCUAGGAUAUUUUCCAAACA
rnacentral:lncRNA from 1 species